rnacentral:rRNA from 1 species
UGGCGACCGGCGCACGGGUGAGUAACGCGUAUGCAACCUACCUAUCAGAGGGGAAUAACCCGGCGAAAGUCGGACUAAUACCGCAUAAAACAGGGGUCCCACAUGGAAAUAUUUGUUAAAGAAUUAUCGCUGAUAGAUGGGCAUGCGUUCCAUUAGAUAGUUGGUGAGGUAACGGCUCACCAAGUCCACGAUGGAUAGGGGUUCUGAGAGGAAGGUCCCCCACACUGGUACUAAGACACGGACCAGACUCCUACGGGAGGCAGCAG